rnacentral:rRNA from 1 species
UGGGGAAUAUUGGACAAUGGGGCGCAAGCCUGAUCCAGCCAUGCCGCGUGAGUGAUGAAGGCCCUAGGGUUGUAAAGCUCUUUCACCGGUGAAGAUAAUGACGGUAACCGGAGAAGAAGCCCCGGCUAACUUCGUGCCAGCAGCCGCGGUAAUACGAAGGGGGCUAGCGUUGUUCGGAUUUACUGGGCGUAAAGCGCACGUAGGCGGACUUUUAAGUCAGGGGGUGAAAUCCCGGGGGCUCAACCCCGGAACUGCCUUUGAUACUGGAAGUCUUGAGUAUGGUAGAGGUGAGUGGAAUUGCCGAGUGUAGAGGUGAAAUUCGUAGAUAUUCGGAGGAACACCAGUGGCGAAGGCGGCUCACUGGACCAUUACUGACGCUGAGGUGCGAAAGCCGUGGGGGAGCAAACAGGAUUAGAUACCCCUGGUAGUCCACGCCGUAAACGAUGAAUGUUAGCCGUUGGGGAGUUUACUCUUCGGUGGCGCAG